AACCUUAUGGACCUGCGGGCGUAUACCUGCGGAGGGAUCAUUACAUGGCGGAGAAGGUGGGCACCUGGCCAAAAAAAACUCCAGGUUGUCAUGCCUUCACGCUCUUCCACCCUUGUCUAUUUGUACCUUUUGUCGUUCCCUCGGCGGGUUUCGACCCGCCGGCGGUAACCAUUGAAAACCCUUUUGCAGUUUAGCAUCCAAUUCUUCUGAUCAAAUAUCAAAUCGUUACAACUUUUAACA
rnacentral:misc_RNA from 1 species